UGCCCGGUAGCAGCUCUUUGAUCUCACAGAGGUCUGGUAAAAUUGGGUCAUCCAGACUUGAAAAUCAGGACAUAACUGUCACACACAUGCAAAAUUCCAAACAGAACAAACUAAGCCCAAACCUCGAACAUGCUGGCUCCCAUUUAAUCUUAGGCAGUUGAUACAUUAUUUUUAGUCACACCUUAAUUUCUGUUCUUUAAAGAUGAUUAGCCUUUUGUCCCAUUUAACAGCUAAAAUCGUCAGCUUUAUGAUUUCCUGAAAGCAGCAUCCAGAGGUGCAAGGCUGGCUGAAUUCCAAAAUUAUGGUGCAUGUUGACCCUCUCUUUUGCCUGAUUAUGUGUGGCUUGGAGUCUAACUCCUACCAAUCCGCUGGAUGCUAAGUUUGUGUGGGCAAGUGCCUCACUCAGGAGCCAGCCUACGGAGACGAAAUCACUGCUACCUGGUGAAUUUCCAAGGGUACAGAAAGCAGAAGGCUCAAGGCUCAGAGAAAACAUGGAGCCCAAACAUGGUCUGUAUCAUUACCACUCGAAGCAAGGUUCGAGGACCAGUAGCACUGGCAUCGCCUAGGAGAUUGUGAGAAAUUCAGCAUCUCAGGCUCCAUCUCAGACCUACUGAAUCAGAAUCCACAUUUUAACAAGAUUGCUUGGUGUUCUGUGUGCACGGUGAAGUUGGAAGAAGUUUGGAAGUUUGGUUGCCACGAGACUGAGGUUUUCUUCUCACCUGCUGCCGGCUGGGCCAUUCUAGCUCACUCUGUGCACCUGUCAUCACACAUUCUCCACCCCAGUCUGCAUUCUCAUCAUUGUUACCCUCACCUGCCAUGGGGCCAGGAUGUGGCCAUGCAUUCGUUGUCACACAUGACACUGGCCACAGAGGAGAAAACCAGCCUGGGCUGAUGUCACGGACAUAAGCCACAGGAGACUGUCAGAGCCUGGUGACCGGGCUCCUAAUCCAGUGCUCACAUGGUUCUCGGCAGCAAGAAUUCAGAGCCUGGAGCUCCGCUGAAGCAGCAUUCCCUGCGAGAACCACUGCAAGGGGAAUCAAUCCCUCAAGACCACGGAGUGGCCAAAGCACUCCGUGAUUCAAAACAAUUCGAGCCUGCGGAGGAUUUUCAGUAAGCAUGGUGAAAGUUCUCUUUUUUAUUGCUAGGAAUUUCCCAGCUUUCAACACAUUCUCCCUUACG